GAGGAGGAGCCAAGAUGGCAGAACAGCAUGGAAGUUUUUUGUGUGUCUCACGUCCAUGAAAUACAGCCAGACCAACACUAAACCGUCCUGCACACCUAGAAAACGGAUCUGAGGAUUAACACAACAAUCUGCACAACCUGAACCACAGAACUCAGCAGCUGGUAACAGGUGCAUGCCCAAGCCCAGGGUUCGAAGAGGAAGAAAUUGCAAGUGGACAAGGCUGUCUCAGCUUGAGCCCAGGACUUUCUAGUGAGCUACGAGUUUCCUGUGGCCCCAGCCUAGCCCGGCACCAUGGAGAAGAUCAGCUCUUUCUUCAGCAUCAUUUGGGACACCAUCUUGACCAAACACCAACAGGGCCUCUUUAACACCAUCUGCCUGGGCAUCCUGCUGGGGCUGCCACUACUAGUGGUCAUGACAUUCAUCUUCAUCUGUUGCCACUGCUGCUGGAGCCGGCCAGGCAAGAGUGGCCCACAGCCAGAGCGAAACAAAGGGAAGAAGAAAAAGAAGAAGAGGAAGGCCGAGGAAGACCUCUGGAUCUCUGCUCAGCCCAAGCUUCUCCAGAUGGAAAAGAGGCCAUCACUGCCUGUCUAGUUAGGCAGGGAGCAGAGGCGUCCUUCCUCGGGGACUAAGCCACCUUCCAAACACACACGGGCUAGAGAGCAGCAAUGCCCAAAGUGAUGCACUCAUGUCCACAGAGGAACUAACCAAGGGACGAACCUCAGGCUGAGCGUCCCCGUGGAGGACACCCCAGAAAGAAUAUGGACAGUUCUUGGGCACUGUCUUGGCAGCUAUGUGUCCAAUAACAAUGCUCUUUACCACAGACUCAGGCAUCCUUUCCACCUGCAUCCCGCAAGCUCCAUCCGCAAAAGUACAAGGAACGUUUGUCCAUACAUCUUGACACGUCUCCCAAAUGCACACACAUGCCCACCAUGCACACAAUAGUGCCCACACGCACACACAUAUACACACGUGUGUGAAUUCAGGCAACAGGUACCUGGGCAAAUAUAUUCUGUUCAUCAAAUGGCCAUUGACGACCUACUUUGUACAAGUACAUCAUCUUCUCUCCCAAAAAUUUCUCAUAGGAAGGCCUGGCCGGAUUCGGGCACACGUGCACAAUUACAUACCCAGAUAAGGUACCUGUCCACUGUCUACUCCAUACGCCACUCAGGUUAGAGAUAUGUGUUUUCCUAUUCCUAUCCCCACACAACCUUUUACUGGAAAUCCUCGUGUUUGGGCACUCCAGCAAUAUACAACUGUAUCAGGUUGUGCAUCGACACAGACACGCCAAGUUCCUGUGUUUCUCACAUGGGAGAAAAAGUUUCAAGUGAGGUGGAUCAAAAUCCAUUGAAAGCUGUAUCUUGCAACUCAUGACAAGGUCCCCAUCACCACGGAUCAGUAUCGAAUGCUGUCUAAGACCUCUUUUUGAGACGCUACCCCCAGAACCACUCAGCAAGGUGCCCUUCUCCAAGCACAAACUAACAGCUCUUGGUGGUGACUUCUAGAAUGUUCUGGAAACCAAGGAUACUCCAUUCACUUCCGUGAACUGCAGUUGUGAGCCUGUGCAAUGUUUUACAGACGGGAAGGAGAUGCUACAUCUGACAGACACCUGACCUAGGGAUUUCCUAUGUAACCAAAGCUUCUCAGCAGGGAAGGAAUUGAGGCAAUAUCCGGUACAGUCUGGCGGAAGGCACACUGGAAACAAUUUCAUAAGGUUGUAAUGGAUGUGUGGCAUGUUGCAGAUGGGAUACAGAAGUUACAGAGUUUAAAUGAAAGUAGAGCGAAGCUAUAUAGAGGUUUAUUAAUAUUUAUCUUGAAGCUCAGGCAAGUGCCUUGCACACAGUAGGUACUCAGAACUGUCUGUGGAUGCUGUUGGAUACAUGAUGAUGUUGAGGGUCAACGUGUAAUACCUCGCCAAUCCCCCCGAGUGACCUUCUGUUCUGAGCCCGCUAAUUGCUCCAACGGAUGGAAGUUGGGUAUUGAGUGCCUCACAGGCAUGCGCAGAACCGACAGUCAGAUUGGCCUGUGCGCCCCGAGAUCCACGACUGAGUUGAGGCGAGUGUCUCCCCACCAGGCUGAGGUUGGGAGGCCGAGUUAACCCACAUACGUGAGGAGAUGGUUGGUAUUUUGAUUGUAUUGUGACUAUAUGACAAAGAUGGAUAAUUCCCAAAUCGGAAGCGGGUUGUGCUCUAAAAGGUCACUUGCAAAUCUGCUGGGUAGCUCUCUUGAAAUAUUUUCCCACAGAAGCUGUUCUAGGAGGCAGUAAAAUUGCAAUUUAAUUAACAAUGUAGCUAAACUAUGAUAUCUAUAGUAGCAAGAAGCUAAAUUCUGCAGGAUUGUGUUCAUGGCAAAAUGUCCUCCGUUUGCUCUCUUGCGCUGCCUGGUACUCACCUGCCCUCCAGGUAUUCUCCGGGCCUGUGGGGGCAGGCAUCUCACGGUGACUGCUGCAUCCGUCUUCUAACGGCGACCCUGUGAGGCAGAAUUCAGGCCUUCCCGUGUUUUAAAACCAGUCGCAUCCACCUUCUCACACCAGGUGGCCCCAAAUGCCCUGGCUGCUCAGACCCCCUAGUCAUAAGCCCCUUCUAGCAGAGAAAGAAGCACUCUCUGGCUGGCUGUCCCCUUGUACAGGGACGGCUCGUCAUGGAGCAGCUGGCUGUCCCCUUCCCAUCACAGGACGAUUGCUCAUCGCCCCACACCAAAUGCACAUGCCUCCCCACGCCCUUCCUGCCCCCCUAAGACGGAUGACCUUGGGGAGACACGGAGCUGACGGCUGAGGCUGGGUGUCAGAUGCGAUCUAGGAGAAAGGAUCGCUCGGAUCCGGGACCACACAAGUAACAUGGUUGCCAUGGCAACUGGCUGCUAGCUUGAAUUAAGACGGCAGUCAGUCAGCUGUCAUUGCCGGGACGAGGCCUCUGUCUCCAGGUGCAGCACCCCACUGUCCCCUAAUCAAAUGGAUUUGAACUACCUCCAGGCGCGAAACACCCAGAAGCUCUCUUCUCACUUGUUUCCAUAGCCCAGGACUUAGGAGACCCAGAUGCUGAACGAGGCUUAUGUUUUCCCCACCCCCGCCGCCUCCCUGAUAGCCUUCACCAGGGUCCCCCCAACACCAUCCAGGGUGCCAUAGGCCCCCAAACUUCUGUGGAGUAAGUGGGUCCAUGAAAGGAGCCCCGUGAAGUCACUGGAGUCACUCCCUGUUCCUCCCAUCAUCCUUAUCUUCCUCUCCCAUGUUUCCUUCUCGUCUCAUUCCUGCUUCUCCCGGCACCCCCACCCCGGGUCCACCCCUUAUUCCUCUUCACUUUUACUCCUUCUCCCCAACCAGCACAGGCUUGGGGAGGAGUCCCCGGGCCGAGAUCUGAACAACUCCAGCCAAACACAUCCACUGUCAUCAGAGAAGGCCUCCUCCCCGCUGCUCAAUGUAUUCUGGUGGCUUUUUUAUUUCUUGGGGGGGGGGGGGCGGGGGAGUGGGGAAUGUAGAGAAAGGGCAGUCACCUUCUCAAGAAGAGUAUAAAUGGUCCAAGCGGUAUAGUGUUUGUCAGAACUUUUUUUCUAGAAAAUUCAAACACAUGCAAAAGAAAAAUUUAUUUAAAUAAAAUAUUUGGAAGACAGCAGCGCCUGGCCUCCUUACCUGCUGGCAUCAGUUACUUUCUUGACAGUAAAUAUUUCCCUCUCCCAGACAUCACUCAGAAAUGACAGAGGCAUGGACUCCCGCUAGGACACAAAAGGCCCAGCUGUCCCUGGACACUGUCUUCCCCCUGACAGAGUCAUAGGUCAAAGGACCAGGACCAGGCUCUCACAUCACUGCCUCCAGAGAGGACACCUCAGAGGCUAGACAUCCUCCGAGGUGCUGGCUGCAGGAAAAACACUGACGCUCCUUGGCAACUCUUAGAGAGCGUUCCCUUCGAUGAGGGAGUACCUCGGGGACUGAUGUCAUUUCCAUUUUAUAAACCAAGAAUAUGAGGCCCACAGAAGGUAAGUAACUCACCCAGACCCGAGAUGGAAACCAAAGUCUUCAGAAUCCCGUCCUAGUGGCCCUUCACACACCAGCCAUCAUGAUCCAGCCUAAUCGGAUUUGGGUUCCUCAAAAACUUGUUAACUUGCAAUACCUACUUUGAGUCAGAAACCUUUUGAACACAAUCAAGAGCUAUGCCCACAAGGCUGUAGAGCACCCAGAUGUCUCCUUCAGGUGCUCCACAGCAAGCCUCACCUGCCUCCUUAGCCUUGUCUAAUUAAACCUGAUUUUCUUCACUUACACAAAUAAAGAACCGUUUCCACU